rnacentral:rRNA from 1 species
AACGAACGCUGGCGGCAUGCCUAACACAUGCAAGUCGAACGAGACCUUCGGGUCUAGUGGCGCACGGGUGCGUAACGCGUGGGAACCUGCCCUUAGGUUCGGAAUAACUCCCCGAAAGGGGUGCUAAUACCGGAUAAUGUCUUCGGACCAAAGAUUUAUCGCCUUUGGAUGGGCCCGCGUUGGAUUAGCUAGUUGGUAGGGUAAAAGCCUACCAAGGCGACGAUCCAUAGCUGGUCUGAGAGGAUGAUCAGCCACACUGGGACUGAGACACGGCCCAGACUCCUACGGGAGGCAGCAGUUGGGAAUAUUGGACAAUGGGCGAAAGCCUGAUACAGCAAUGCCGCGUGAGUGAUGAAGGCCUUAGGGUUGUAAAGCUCUUUUACCCGGGAUGAUAAUGACAGUACCGGGAGAAUAAGCUCCGGCUAACUCCGUG